UUUUAUGAGAGUUUGAUCCUGGCUCAGGACGAACGCUGGCGGCGUGCCUAAUACAUGCAAGUCGAACGCUUCUUUUUCCACCGGAGCUUGCUCCACCGGAAAAAGAGGAGUGGCGAACGGGUGAGUAACACGUGGGUAACCUGCCCAUCAGAAGGGGAUAACACUUGGAAACAGGUGCUAAUACCGUAUAACAAUCAAAACCGCAUGGUUUUGAUUUGAAAGGCGCUUUCGGGUGUCGCUGAUGGAUGGACCCGCGGUGCAUUAGCUAGUUGGUGAGGUAACGGCUCACCAAGGCCACGAUGCAUAGCCGACCUGAGAGGGUGAUCGGCCACAUUGGGACUGAGACACGGCCCAAACUCCUACGGGAGGCAGCAGUAGGGAAUCUUCGGCAAUGGACGAAAGUCUGACCGAGCAACGCCGCGUGAGUGAAGAAGGUUUUCGGAUCGUAAAACUCUGUUGUUAGAGAAGAACAAGGAUGAGAGUAACUGUUCAUCCCUUGACGGUAUCUAACCAGAAAGCCACGGCUAACUACGUGCCAGCAGCCGCGGUAAUACGUAGGUGGCAAGCGUUGUCCGGAUUUAUUGGGCGUAAAGCGAGCGCAGGCGGUUUCUUAAGUCUGAUGUGAAAGCCCCCGGCUCAACCGGGGAGGGUCAUUGGAAACUGGGAGACUUGAGUGCAGAAGAGGAGAGUGGAAUUCCAUGUGUAGCGGUGAAAUGCGUAGAUAUAUGGAGGAACACCAGUGGCGAAGGCGGCUCUCUGGUCUGUAACUGACGCUGAGGCUCGAAAGCGUGGGGAGCAAACAGGAUUAGAUACCCUGGUAGUCCACGCCGUAAACGAUGAGUGCUAAGUGUUGGAGGGUUUCCGCCCUUCAGUGCUGCAGCUAACGCAUUAAGCACUCCGCCUGGGGAGUACGACCGCAAGGUUGAAACUCAAAGGAAUUGACGGGGGCCCGCACAAGCGGUGGAGCAUGUGGUUUAAUUCGAAGCAACGCGAAGAACCUUACCAGGUCUUGACAUCCUUUGACCACUCUAGAG
rnacentral:rRNA from 1 species